GAGGGGGCUGCCCUUCCGUUGCCCAUGCUAAAGGUUCCUGUGUAGGAAGCUGGACGCAGCCUGCUGGACUAGUAAUCUUCCUCCUCGCUGGGGCGCGGGGCACUGAAGGGAGGGAGAGACUUUCUCCUCCUUCCUGUUCCCCGGGACAGCUGUGCUCUCCGAAUCCUUCCCUUCUUCCCAGCCCACUUAUUCCCCGCUCGCCAAGGCACGUUUGCACAGGCAUUUUUCCUGCUCUUUUUUCUGGGAGGGCAGCUUGGUAGAAUGGUCGGCGGAGCUGGGCGAGGAGAGGGGUCUUCAGAAGGUUUGCUUUCUUGCUCUUGCUUCUCACUGGCCGCUGGGCUGUCCACUUUCCGCGCCGGGCGACUGGCAACAGGAGGCCAUGGAUUUCCCCCAACGACAUCUUCAACUAAAGAUGUCAAAGCACAAGCUCACUUCCCACGGAAGGUAGCAAUUACUAUUAUCUACUUGACAGCUACAAGAACCUAGGCACAGAGGUUAAGUGCUCUGCAAAUACUACCAGCCAGUGGUGGUUUUCCUGCCAGAACCAAGUUCUUGCCUUCCAGUGGACACCAUUGAUCUCUCAAGAUGAUUCUUUAAGUUAAAAAGCACGAAUCACAAAGGGCCUCAAAACCACAUUAAAAUUUAAGAUUGAUCUGCUCUUCUGCUUCUGAAUGUGAGAGCCUAUACUGGAUCUCUGAAGAAAAUAAAGAUGAGAUGAGGUUCUGAUCCCUUGGACUUCAUGAAGUUACGUGACAGAAAGUAUGAUUGUCUAGCCGAUACUUGACUGUGUGAAACCUUCAUCUACUCCGGAAUCCUGAGGCACAGACUCAGAGGCCCUCUGACUCACGAUUAGGGUUGUCAGGGUGAUGCAACAGCAAGACCAUAGCCUUUGGUGUCGGAAUACCAAGUUUUGAAGCUCAGUUUCCCCACUCACUAAUUUUCAGUGAGCACAUACAUAAUUUGAAAUCUGAAAAUGGACAAUAAUGCCUACCUACUUCAAAAUUUGGUUUGAGAAUCAAGUGAAAUAUUAAUAUAUAUGUAAGCAUUUUAUGAACAAGGAAGCAAGUUAUAAAUGCAUUAUCUUGUUAAUUUAGUCAUUUCACUAGGGGUGGGUCCAAUGUGGGCCUCCUUUGAGGUAGACUGUAUUUCAUGAAUUUAUAAUAAAAUUCUAAAGUUUAACAAAGACAGUACCUGGAAAAAUUACUUUUUCAUGUUUUUAUGUUUUGUGUCCACUCUGUUGCAGUAACAACACAGAUAUAAAAGGAUUUGAGUCUGUUUAUAGUAUUAAUCAGAUUCCCACUCUCAUUCAUAGUGAGAUUUUAAAACCUUUUCUUACACAUCUAAAGGAAAGUGUAUCUGACCCAGUGGUUUUUUCUUUACCCUGUCACUUUAUUUAGUAUGCCUCAUUAACAUCAAAUAAUAAGGUAUUUUAUUUGGGGUCUUCUCUCAUAGUACUAGAAAAUGCAAUUUUGCUAGAUGAAAUUGGUUUCAAUCCUAAAAAACUUAAUAUUUCUUUUCUUACAAAUAAAUGUUUAUACUUUUUUAUAACAUUCAUUUUCCAGAUAAUGUAGACUUGCUCAGAGAUAAUAUUGUAUCAGAAGAUUUAGAAGAGUAAUUUGUUGAGAAUAUAUAGAAUCAUCCUCAAAUA
rnacentral:lncRNA from 1 species